rnacentral:rRNA from 1 species
AUUGAACGCUGGCGGCAUGCCUUACACAUGCAAGUCGAACGGCAGCACGGGUGCUUGCACCUGGUGGCGAGUGGCGAACGGGUGAGUAAUACAUCGGAACGUACCUUAUCGUGGGGGAUAACGCAGCGAAAGCUGUGCUAAUACCGCAUACGCCCUGAGGGGGAAAGCGGGGGAUCGCAAGACCUCGCGCGAUUAGAGCGGCCGAUGCCUGAUUAGCUUGUUGGUGGGGUAAAAGCCCACCAAGGCGACGAUCAGUAGCUGGUCUGAGAGGACGAACAGCCAAACUGGGACUGAGACACGGCCCAGACUCCUACGGGAGGCAGCAGUGGGGAAUUUUGGACAAUGGGGGCAACCCUGAUCCAGCAAUGCCGCGUGAGUGAAGAAGGCCUUCGGGUUGUAAGGCUCUUUUGUCAGGGAAGAAACACCGGCUCUAACACAGUCCGGGAAUGACGGUACCUGAAGAAUAAGCACCGGCUAAUUACGUGCCAGCAGCCGCCGUAA